rnacentral:rRNA from 1 species
CCUGAUGCAGCAACGCCGCGUGAGGGACGAAGGCCUUCGGGUUGUAAACCUCUUUUAGUAGGGAAGAAGCGAAAGUGACGGUACCUGCAGAAAAAGCACCGGCUAACUACGUGCCAGCAGCCGCGGUAAUACGUAGGGUGCAAGCGUUGUCCGGAAUUAUUGGGCGUAAAGAGCUCGUAGGCGGUUUGUCGCGUCUGCUGUGAAAACUGGAGGCUCAACCUCCAGCCUGCAGUGGGUACGGGCAGACUAGAGUGCGGUAGGGGAGAUUGGAAUUCCUGGUGUAGCGGUGGAAUGCGCAGAUAUCAGGAGGAACACCGAUGGCGAAGGCAGAUCUCUGGGCCGUAACUGACGCUCAGGAGCGAAAGCAUGGGGAGCGAACAGGAUUAGAUACCCUGGUAGUCCAUGCCGUAAACGUUGGGAACUAGAUGUAGGGGCCAUUCCACGGUUUCUGUGUCGCAGCUAACGCAUUAAGUUCCCCGCCUGGGGAGUACGGCCGCAAGGCUAAAACUCACAGGAAUUGACGGGGGCCCGCACAAGCGGCGGAGCAUGCGGAUUAAUUCAAUGCAACGCGUAGAACCUUACCAAGGCUUGACAUAUACCGGAAACGGCUAGAGAUAGUCGCCCCGCAAGGUC